rnacentral:sRNA from 1 species
GCUGGGUGUAGUGGUGCACACCUGUAACCCUAGUGGCUAGGGAGGCUGAGGCAGGAAGAUUGUAAGUUCAAAGUCAGUCUCAGUAACAUAGCAAGACCCUGCUUCUA